ensembl:lncRNA
GUCCGCUAAUGACGGCUUGUAUAAGUGGUCAUAUUCUUCGUUUUAAUGAUGACGGUAUUGUGCGAUGAAAAGGGAAAUGUGAGACUCCGUAAAGGAUGUAGUUAGCAGACCAAUGGCAGCCUUGUGCGCUGCUGGAGGCUUGUGUCGACGCAAGCCUAGAAAAAUGUCUCGACACACGCAAGGAUGCAAGGAGGUGUGAAAAGGCACGCAAGGGACACGCAAGAGGCUCUUGCGUCUGCGUCGCUCUGAAAAUGCAGAAGCAUAAACUAGGCUUAAAAGACUAACAAAUUGUAGCACUUAAAUUGUACUUAUAAUGGCUCUUACCUAUUGCAAGUUGUAAAUCGGCUAAUUUGUUGAAAUUGCACUUUCUUGUUGCUUGUUCUUCUGUGUCUGUAUUCUUAUGUUAAGUCACUUUGGAUAAAAGCGUCACCUACAUGACAUGUAAUGUAAUCAUGAUUCCUGAAAUGAAUGAGACAGUGGAUUGAAUAAUGCAUUUUAGUUUCCAUGUUAUUAUCCUAUGUAAUGCUUCUUAUUAGGUCUGACCAUUCAUUGUUGAGCAGGGAAAUGAGACCAUUUAUCUGAAACGCAAACUCAUGCAUCUGUAUUUAUAUUGGCGAGCAAGUCAUUGCAGUGUCUAUCAAAACUAUUGCUUUAAAUAAUUUGGCCUAAGGUUGAGUAGACUGCCAUUUUACCUUUUAGUCUGAAAUUACUAUAUGUACUGCCUGCAUGAAUUGACCCAUCGUGCUCACAAAAAAAUGAGGAUUCACUUGCUGCACAAACUGCUGUAUGAAGAUACGUUGACUAUGAUUGACGAUUAAACAGAUGUUAAUGUUAAAUGCUGUAUCUAAGGAAUUGCUGACUUUGACUUUCCUGAUAACUAAAAACAUGGAACUUUACUGAUUUGCAAAUCGAGGUUUGAUUUUGAACGUAAAAGCCUGAUUUCUUUCAUUCUCUUCAUCUCUCUUUUGUGUUCAUCUCUUAAUUCUGGCCCUUUCCUGCUCGCUGUAUUCCAGGCAUCUAGGGAUACUUUGGGCAAUAAAGAUGUCAGGAGAAAAUCUCUGCCGAUAAACCCGCUCUUCGGCCAAUGGAGAACAGCGAUUUGCU